UCUGGGAUAGCUGGCCGAAAGGUCAAUUAAUACUGUUUCCUUUGGUAGCGAUACUAAAGGAAGAAAGACGGUCGAAUUAUGGCUGUCGUUCAGGGAGGGGCCCGCGUUCUAUUAGCUAGUUGGUGGGGUAAUGGCCUACCAAGGCGAUGAUAGAUAACCGGCUUGAGAGAGUGGUCGGUCACACUGGAACUGAGACACGGUCCAGACUCCUACGGGAGGCAGCAGUAGGGAAUAUUCCGCAAUGGGCGAAAGCCUGACGGAGCGACGCCGCGUGUGUGAUGAAGGCCUUCGGGUUGUAAAACACUGUUGAGAAGGAAGAAGUGCAUAGGGAGUAACUGCCUUAUGUUUGACGGUACUUUUCGAGGAAGCCCCGGCUAAUUACGUGCCAGCAGCCGCGGUAAUACGUAAGGGGCAAGCGUUGUCCGGAUUCACUGGGCGUAAAGGGCGCGUAGGCGGCGAUACAAGUCAGAGGUGAAAGCUAUGGGCUCAACCCAUAAACUGCCUUUGAAACUGUAUUGCUUGAAUAUUGCAGAGGAAAGUGGAAUUCAUGGUGUAGCGGUGAAAUGCGUAGAUAUCAUGGAGAACACCUAUGGCGAAGGCAGCUUUCUGGGCAAAUACUGACGCUGAGGCGCGAAAGCUAGGGUAGCGAACAGGAUUAGAUACCCUGGUAGUCCUAGCUGUAAACGUUGAGUACUAGGUGCUGGGAGUAAAAUUUCAGUGCCGCGCAAACGCAAUAAGUACUCCGCCUGGGGACUACGGCCGCAAGGCUAAAACUCAAAGGAAUUGACGGGGGCCCGCACAAGCGGUGGAGCAUGUGGUUUAAUUCGAUGCAACGCGGAAUACCUUACCAAGCCUUGACAUCCCUGGACAAACUGUGAAAGCAGUCUUUCGGAGCAAUCCGACUAGGUGACAGGUGGUGCAUGGCUGUCGUCAGCUCGUGUCGUGAGAUGUUGGGUUAAGUCCCGCAACGAGCGCAACCCCCGUGUCUAGUUGCUAACAGUUCGGCUGAGGACUCUAGACAGACUGCUGGUUUUACGCCAGAGGAAGGUGGGGACGACGUCAAGUCAUCAUGCCCCUUACGUUCAGGGCUACACACGUGCUACAAUGGCAAGUACAAAGGGCUGCGAAGCGGUAACGCGGAGCCAACCCCACAAAGCUUGCCUCAGUUCGGAUAGAGGGCUGCAACUCGCCCUCUUGAAGCUGGAAUCGCUAGUAAUCGUGAAUCAGCAUGUCACGGUGAAUACGUUCCCGGGCCUUGU
rnacentral:rRNA from 1 species